CAGAGCAUUCCUGACACCUUGGUCAUCUCUCCGUGUAUGUUUUAGAGUAAGCAAUAGUCAGGUUCUUGUAUGCAAAGGAUGAGAGCCUCUGGAAGGUGAGAAGGGGCCUGGAAAUUGCAUAUUCCUCCCCUCUUGAAAGGACAGGAAAAAUCAGACCAUAUCUGCAUCCCUCAGAUCCUCAGCUGCCUUUGCACAACAACUAAAUCUCUGAAAGAAGAUAGCCAUGGGCCAAAUUUUCAAGAUUGAUACUGUGUCUGCCAUCAGAUUCCAGAGAGUCUACUUAACACUCAGUGAUUGUUUGGGCACAAUAAACACAUGUAUUGUUAGUAGAACAUGACAGAACUACCUAUUUAUGAAAAUUAAGAAAAAUAUUUUGUGUGUACCUAACUGAAUCCAUUUUCUAUAUAGUGAAAAUUAAUGCAAUGAACUUAAUUUUGGAAUCUUGUUGGGGGGGUUCUAUCUUAAACACAUUCUUUGCCCCAAAUGAAAAUAGGUUUAUUUAAUUUUUUUGCUUAUAAGAAUAAUCCAUGCUGAGGGGCAGUAAAUUAAAUAAAACUGGAAAAAAUAUUUAGGAGCAAAUAAAAUCCCCAUUUCAGCUAUCUGCUUCCCUGCCUGCCAAUCCACCAUGCACCUAUUGUAUGAAGGUCUGGAGGAGAGAAGAAAUGAACAUCAGUGGCUGAGUGGAGAAGUAGAUUGAGGGGGUAGGUGCUUUGAGAUCAAAGAAGAGAAAGAAAAAAUUCCUCAGAGAUGUACCAAUGGCCAGUUGCCCUAGGAGAUGUAGCCCUUCCUUGAUAAGAUAGAACAAACACAUACCACAGAGAGAAGGGGCCACCUUUGACCUGUGGGAUUAGGAAAGACCAAAAAAAAAAAAAAAAAAAAGCCGUGAAAGAAGGGGACUUCAGCGCUGCGAGGCGGGAGCGGGCUAGUGAAGGGAAGAAGUGGGCUGGCUCCUGACGCACUUUCUGCUGGUGGGAGGGGAACCAGGGACCCGAGCCCACUGGUGACGUUUCUUUCACGUGAUCAGAAGCCGACGUGUGCAGAAGUCCCUCUCCUCCAGGUACCAGCUCCCCAUUUCCGUGGAGAAAGAUUUCAGACUGAGGGACAGAGCGGCAACUGCCCUAGAGCCCUGCAGGUCUUCAGGUCUGUGGUUGUAGGCACCAACCCAGACAAGAGAGGAAAAGACCUGCAGGACCAGUGCAGGACAGGC
rnacentral:lncRNA from 1 species